UGGGGAAUAUUGCACAAUGGGGGAAACCCUGAUGCAGCGACGCCGCGUGAGCGAAGAAGGCUUUCGAGUCGUAAAGCUCUGUCCUAUGAGAAGAUAAUGACGGUAUCAUAGGAGGAAGCCCUGGCUAAAUACGUGCCAGCAGCCGCGGUAAUACGGAUGGGGCGAGCGUUGUCCGGAAUUAUUGGGCGUAAAGGGUACGUAGGCGGUUUUUUAAGUCAGGUGUCAAAGCGUGGAGCUUAACUCCAUUAAGCACUUGAAACUGAAAGACUUGAGUGAAGGAGAGGAAAGUGGAAUUCCUAGUGUAGCGGUGAAAUGCGUAGAUAUUAGGGGGAAUACCGGUGGCGAAGGCGACUUUCUGGACUUUUACUGACGCUCAGGUACGAAAGCGUGGGGAGCAAACAGG
rnacentral:rRNA from 1 species